CGCUUACAAGCAAUAAUAAAUAAUUCUCAACCGACACACGCGGCGCGACACACCGGUAAACAAGUUUACGACAAGCCUCGUUGUUGGCGUCGUCGGCGUCGUGAUUCUUUGUUGUUAGUCGAGUUUCUGACUCCUGCUGGCAAAGCAUCUUCGUGGAAAUUUCAUUUUAGUAACCAACCGAGGGUGGCGGUGAUUUAGCUUUCCGAAAAACGAAAAAAUAUCAACACUCACGCUUCAUGGCGUCGUUGGCGUCGACAUGGUUGACGUCACUGAUUUUCAUACUCAAGCAAGCAUAAGCCAGCCAACGACGUUAAUUACAGCUGCGUAAGCGGUUUUCAGAGUUUGGAGUCAUUAAUUAGAUGUGUAUUAAUCAUUCAACGCGUUAUUAGCUACCGACAGAUCUUCACAAACAAAGCAAGCUCAACAAGAUUAACCUCACAAAGCAGAAAAGCAUUACUUUGAGGUUAAUUUAAUAUAAAUAUACUCCUAGAAUUAAUUAUUAUAUAUUGUAGAGUUUAUAAUGUUAAUAUGCGAGUUAAACAAUAAUUUAACCAUUUUGGUUGUGGUUAAGGUGGUUAGAUGUUGUUUGAAGGAGACAAGUGUCACAUGCACUGCGUACGAGUCAUUCACGUGCACACUACAGCCAUGAGUUUCCGGUACGUCACAGUAACAAUGCCGUAUUAUAAAAGUAUAAAUUUAAAUAUUUAUUGGAAAGUGUCGUAAAAUAAUUGUGUCAUAUGAGACUGCAGUUGUGUCGCAAAACGUCAAUCUCUACGGUAUUGCUUUACGACUAGCAGUUAAAUCGUUAAAUUGGCGACUCGAAUUGUUUUCUGCGCUAGCCCCGAGCAUAAACUAUGUGAUAGUGAUUUAUUUAUGCCCUAACGAUUCUAUUUACGUGUUUGGGGAUUCAAUCAAAAUAACCUAAAAUUUUACUGUGACACUAGCGCCACGCAUAAAAUGCUAAAACGUCAUGAAUUUGAAAAAUUUGAAAAAUAUAAUUGAGGGCUAGCGCCGCUAUUUUCGGUUGUUUGUUUAAACAAAGCGCACGUUUGGACGGCUUUGAAGUGAACUCCCAAUUUUCGGAGCCAAGGUUUCAUCUCCGAAGCUUAUUGAACGAUCAAUCGUUGGAUAUUACAUCAACGCGCACGUGAAAGCAUCGGAGCAUCUCGCAAAGGCGUGUGGAUAAGCCCGAAAGAGAAAGUGUAAAUAAUCCCCGCCGGAGAUAUUGCGAUUUUCCACCUGGAAUACCAAAGAUGAAAGCCGCCGAGCAACCAAGGCGCUGCGAGAAAAUGAAAACCGACGAUCCAUACAUUCUAUUUUAUUGUCUCGCCACGAUCCAUUUAUAUUCACACCGUCUUAUAGGGUAUCUCACCCUUUGUCAACGUUUUUGUUUGGUUUAUACUCCAAAAUAAAUAAAAUGAAAAAAAGACAUUUUUUUAAACGAAUAAAAACUCGAAAAAACCGAAAAAAUAAUGUGUAAAUCGAAUAACAGAUGAUUUUCAACCGAGCGCAUAGAAUAAUAAAUAAAUGCAGUUCCAGAAUUA